CAGAAAAACACCAAACACGUAUCGAUAUGAGCAAUAUCGCGUUCCAAAAUAAGCAGCGAUACCUUGGAAAGUAUCGUCUUGAAGUUAUCGCUAAAGUUUACCUAUCGAUGUACAUCUUUUUUACAUGCUAACUACAUUGCUGUGAAGUCGCCGCUUUGAAAGCGUUUACGGGAAGAAGUGCAAAUUAAAAAUAAAAUUUUCAAUAAGUGCAAGUGUAUAGCCCAAGUGGGUUCAACAUUGAUUUGAAAUCAUGCCCAAACCGGA